rnacentral:rRNA from 1 species
UACGGAGGGUGCGAGCGUUAUUCGGAAUUACUGGGCGUAAAGAGCACGUAGGUGGUUUUGUAAGUCUGGUGUGAAAUCCCACGGCUUAAUCGUGGAAGAGCAUUGGAUACUGCUAGACUAGAGUGUUGGAGAGGAAGACGGAAUUCCUGGUGUAGAGGUAGAAUUCGUAGAUAUCAGGAGGAACAACGGAGGCGAAGGCGGUCUUCUGGACAAUUACUGACGCUGAGGUGCGAAAGUGUGGGGAG